UACGUAGGGGGUAAGCGUUGUCCGGAAUCAUUGGGCGUAAAGAGCGUGUAGGCGGCCUGAUAAGUCGGCUGUGAAAGUCAAGGGCUCAACCCUUGAAUGCCGGCCGAUACUGUCAGGCUAGAGUCCGGAAGAGGCGAGUGGAAUUCCUGGUGUAGCGGUGAAAUGCGCAGAUAUCAGGAGGAACACCUAUGGCGAAGGCAGCUCGCUGGGACGGUACUGACGCUGAGACGCGAAAGCGUGGGGAGCGAACAGG
rnacentral:rRNA from 1 species